rnacentral:tRNA from 1 species
AGUUAAUGAGCUUGAUAUAAGCUUAUAUUUUGAAAAUAUAAGAAAGAUUUAAAUUUCUAUUAGCUU